rnacentral:rRNA from 1 species
CGUAGGUGCGAGCGUUGUCCGGAAUUAUUGGGCGUAAAGGGCUCGUAGGCGGUUUGUCGCGUCGGGAGUGAAACCAGGUGCUUAACACCUGGCUUGCUUUCGAUACGGGCAGACUAGAGGUAUGCAGGGGAGAACGGAAUUCCUGGUGUAGCGGUGAAAUGCGCAGAUAUCAGGAGGAACACCGGUGGCGAAGGCGGUUCUCUGGGCAUGACCUGACGCUGAGGAGCGAAAGUGUGGGGAGCGAACAGGAUU